rnacentral:tRNA from 1 species
GUCUCGGUAGUGUAAUGGAUAAGCACGGUGCCCGAGAAGCAUAAGUACUGGUUCGAGUCCGGUCCGGGACU